GUGCCAGCAGCCGCGGUAAUACAGAGGUGGCGAGCGUUGUUCGGAAUUACUGGGCGUAAAGGGCGCGUAGGCGGUCUUGUAAGUCUUGUGUGAAAUCCCUCGGCUUAACUGAGGAACUGCACGAGAUACUGUUUGACUUGAGUUCGGGAGAGGGAAGCGGAAUUCCGGGUGUAGCGGUGAAAUGCGUAGAUAUCCGGAGGAACACCGGUGGCGAAGGCGGCUUCCUGGACCGACACUGACGCUGAGGCGCGAAAGCUAGGGGAGCAAACGGGAUUAGAUACCCCGGUAGUCCUAGCUGUAAACGAUGAGUGCUGGGUGUAGGAGGUAUUAACCCUCCUGUGCCGAAGCUAACGCAUUAAGCACUCCGCCUGGGGAGUACGGUCGCAAGGCUGAA
rnacentral:rRNA from 1 species